rnacentral:rRNA from 1 species
GAAUAUUGGACAAUGGGGGGAACCCUGAUCCAGCCAUGCCGCGUGUGUGAAGAAGGCCUUUUGGUUGUAAAGCACUUUAAGCGAGCAGGAGGCUACCUGGAUUAAUCCUUUAGGAUAGUGGACGUUACUCGCCGAAUACGCACCGGCUAAGUCUGUCCAAGCAGCCGCGGUAAUACAGAGGGUGAGAGCGUUAAACGGAUUUACUGGGCGUAAAGCGGGCGUAGGCGGCCAAUUAAGUCAAAUGUGAAAUCCCCGAGCUUAACUUGGGAAUUGCAUUCGAUACUGGUUGGCUAGAGUAUGGGAGAGGAUGGUAGAAUUCCAGGUGUAGCGGUGAAAUGCGUAGAGAUCUGGAGGAAUACCGAUGGCGAAGGCAGCCAUCUGGCCUAAUACUGACGCUGAGGUACGAAAGCAUGGGGAGCAAACAG